UACGGGGGGAGCAAGCGUUGUUCGGAUUUACUGGGCGUAAAGGGCGCGUAGGCGGUCAGUGCAAGUCAGUUGUGAAAUCUCCGGGCUUAACUCGGAAAGGUCAACUGAUACUGCUCGACUAGAGUGCGGAAGGGGCAACUGGAAUUCUUGGUGUAGCGGUGAAAUGCGUAGAUAUCAGGAGGAACACCGGUGGCGAAGGCGGAUCUCUGGGCCUGAUCUGACGCUGAGGCGCGAAAGCUAGGGGAGCAAACAGG
rnacentral:rRNA from 1 species